rnacentral:rRNA from 1 species
CCGGCGACCGGCGGCACGGGUGGAGUAACACGUAUGCAACCUGCCCUCUUCAGGGGGACAACCUUCCGAAAGGGGAGGCUAAUCCCGCGUAUAUCGGUUUCGGGCGAUCCGAGAUCGAGGAAAGAUUCAUCGGAAGAGGAUGGGCAUGCGGCGCAUUAGCUAGACGGCGGGGUAACGGCCCACCGUGGCGACGAUGCGUAGGGGUUCUGAGAGGAAGGUCCCCCACACUGGUACUGAGACACGGACCAGACUCCUACGGAAGGCAGCAG